GCACUGCUGAGGAGUCCCAUACUAGGACGACACGUCCGUCCAGUGC
rnacentral:hammerhead_ribozyme from 1 species